CCUACGGGUGGCUGCAGUCGGGAAUAUUGCGCAAUGGAGGAAACCCUGAUGCAGUGACGCCGCGUGCGGGAAGGAGGUUUUCGGAGUGUAAACUGCUUUAGACAGGGAAGAAAAAAGACGGUACCUGUACAAUAAGCCCCGGCUAACUACGUGCCAGCAGCCGCGGUAAUACGUAGGGGGCAAGCGUUAUCCGGAUUUACUGGGUGUAAAGGGUGCGUAGACGGAGAAGCAAGUUAGUUGUGGAAUCCCGCGGCUUAACUGAGGAACUGCAACUAAAACUAUUUUCCUGGAGUACUGGAGAGGAAAGUGGAAUGCCUGGUGUAGCGGUGAAAUGCGUAGAUAUUAGGAGGAACACCAGUGGCGAAGGCGACUUUCUGGACAGUAACUGACGUUGAGGCACGAAAGUGUGGGGAGCGAACAGGAUUAGAUACCCUUGUAGUC
rnacentral:rRNA from 1 species